rnacentral:rRNA from 1 species
GUGAGGAAUAUUGGUCAAUGGGCGAAAGCCUGAACCAGCCAUGUCGCGUGAAGGAUGAAGGUCCUAUGGAUUGUAAACUUCUUUUGCAGGAGGGUAAAGUGAGCUACGUGUAGUUCAUUGCAAGUACCCUGCGAAUAAGCAUCGGCUAACUCCGUGCCAGCAGCCGCGGUAAUACGGAGGAUGCGAGCGUUCUCCGGAUUUAUUGGGUUUAAAGGGUGCGUAGGCGGACUAAUUAGUCAGCGGUGAAAUUUUGCGGCUCAACCGUAAAACUGCCGUUGAAACUGUUAGUCUUGAGUGCGGUAGAGGUAGGCGGAAUGUGUGGUGUAGCGGUGAAAUGCUUAGAUAUCACACAGAACACCGAUUGCGUAGGCAGCUUACUGGAGCGCAACUGACGCUGAGGCACGAAAGCGUGGGGAUCGAACAGGAUUAGAUACCCCAGUAGUCC